AUCCAUCAACGUAGUCAAGCUUUGUCUUGUACUAUGCUUGUAUGAAUGAAGGUUGCUGGAAUUCUUCAGCUCCUUUUAAAUUGAUUAGCGAGAAUGCUUUUUCAGCUCUGGUUUGAUAACUUUUUCUAUGCCUUUGCUGAUGCUGCCACUCUCGCUUCUAACUUGUCCCUUGGGACUGUCGUUUCGACAACUCUUGAC
rnacentral:misc_RNA from 1 species